rnacentral:rRNA from 1 species
GACGAACGCUGGCGGCGUGGAUUAGGCAUGCAAGUCGAACGGUAUCAUCCUUUCGGGGGUGAGAGAGUGGCGAACUGGUGAGUAACACGUAGGUUAUCUACCCUCAAGACGGGGACAACCCAGGGAAACUUGGGCUAAUACCGGAUGUGAGCAACUUUUAGUUGUUUGAAAGGUGGCGUAAGCUGUCGCUUGGGGAUGAGCCUGCGUCCUAUUAGUUAGUUGGUGAGGUAACGGCUCACCUAGGCAAUGAUAGGUAGGCGGCCUUAACGGGUGGUCGCCCACACUGGGAUUGAGAUACGGCCCAGACUCCUACGGGAGGCAGCAGUCGAGAAUAGUCUACAAUGGUCGGAAGACUGAUAGUGCGACGCCGCGUGAACGAUGAAUCCCUUCGGGGUGUAAAGCACUUUUUGAGAGGAUGAGGAAGGACGGUACUCUCAGAAUAAGUCUCGGCUAACUACGUG